UACGUAGGUGGCGAGCGUUGUCCGGAUUUAUUGGGUUUAAAGGGUGCGUAGGCGGCCUUGUAAGUCAGUUCUGAAAUAUCCCGGCUUAACCGGGAGGGUGGGAUUGAUACUGCAGGGCUUGAGUAGAGUCGAGGUAGGCGGAAUUGACGGUGUAGCGGUGAAAUGCUUAGAUAUCGUCAAGAACACCGAUAGUGUAGGCAGCUUACUAGACUUCAACUGACGCUGAGGCACGAAAGUGUGGGGAUCAAAC
rnacentral:rRNA from 1 species